ACGCACGCUGGCGGCGUGCCUAAUACAUGCACGUCGAGCGGACUUAAAAAGCUUGCUUUUUAAGUUAGCGGCGGACGGGUGAGUAACACGUGGGCAACCUGCCUGUAAGACUGGGAUAACUUCGGGAAACCGGAGCUAAUACCGGAUAAUCCUUUUCUACUCAUGUAGAAAAGCUGAAAGACGGUUUACGCUGUCACUUACAGAUGGGCCCGCGGCGCAUUAGCUAGUUGGUGAGGUAACGGCUCACCAAGGCGACGAUGCGUAGCCGACCUGAGAGGGUGAUCGGCCACACUGGGACUGAGACACGGCCCAGACUCCUACGGGAGGCAGCAGUAGGGAAUCUUCCGCAAUGGACGAAAGUCUGACGGAGCAACGCCGCGUGAGUGAUGAAGGUUUUCGGAUCGUAAAACUCUGUUGUUAGGGAAGAACAAGUACGAGAGUAACUGCUCGUACCUUGACGGUACCUAACCAGAAAGCCACGGCUAACUACGUG
rnacentral:rRNA from 1 species